CCUCGCCAGAAUACAUUAGCAUGGAAUAAUACUAUAGGAUCUUGGUUCUAUUUUGUUGGUUUCUAGAAUUGAGAUAAUGAUUAAUAGGGACAAUUGGGGGCAUUCGUAUCAACACGUCAGAGGUGGAAUUCUUGGAUUGUGUUGCGACGAACUACUGCGAAAGCAUUUGCCAAGGAUGUUUUCAUUGAUCAAGAACGAAAGUAAGGGGAUCGAAGACGAUUAGAUACCGUCGUAGUCUUUACCAUAAACUAUGCCGACUAGAGACGGGGCAUCGUUCAUUUACGACUUGCUCCGCACCUUAUGAGAUAUCAAAGUCUUUGGGUUCCGGGGGGAGUAUGGUCGCAAGACUGAAACUUAAAGGAAUUGACGGAAGGGCACCACCAGGAGUGGAGCCUGCGGCUUAAUUUGACUCAACACGGGGAAACUCACCAGGUCCAGACAUAAUAAGGAUUGACAGAUUGAUAGCUCUUUCUUGAUUUUAUGGGUGGUGGUGCAUGACCGUUCUUAGUUCGUGGAGUGAUUUGUCUGCUUAAUUGCGUUAACGAACGAGACCUUAACCUGCUAAAUAGGAGCGCCUAUCUUCGGAUAAGCGUCUUUCUUCUUAGAGGGACUUUAUGCGUUUCAGCAUGAGGAAGUUUGAGGCUAAAACAGGUCUGUGAUGCCCUUCGAUGUUCUGGGCUGCACGCGCGCUACACUGAUGCGUUCAACGAGUGUACAACCUCGCCCGAUAGGGUUGGGUAACCUUUUGAACACGCAUCGUGAUGGGGAUAGAUUAUUGCAAUUAUUAAUCUUCACCGAGGAAUUCCUAGUAAUGGCGAAUCAUCAGUUCGUCGUGAUUACGUCCCUGCCCUUUGUACACACCGCCCGUCGCUCCUACCGAUUGAGCAAUCCGGUGAAUAUUUCGGACCGAAUAUCUGCGGGGCAACCCAUGGACGUUUGGAAAGUCAAGUAAACCUUAUUGCUUAGAGGAAGGAGAAGUCGUAACAAGGUUUCCGUAG
rnacentral:rRNA from 1 species